UAGCCUCCCUCCUUGCCUCCUCCACUUUGUUAGUAUGAGUGCUCCUUUGGUUCUCCUUUAGUCUCCAAAGAGAAGACCUCUAAAGAUCCACACCCACUAGUGUAGUGAGAUGGAUGGAGGAAUGACCAAAAGGGUGAAAAGAUGAUUAGCUAAAAUCACCCUUAAGGUGGCCGGCCUUUGGUGUUGAAGAGAGAGUAAUUUUCUUUUUCUCUUUAGUUGUUUUGAACACACAAAAACCCUAAGUAAAAAGAUCUCUAUAAAGUUCCUUAUAUAGACAAAAAAGAAACCUACUCAACAACUUGACUUUCACUCUCUCCCUUUCCCUUUAAGUGGCUGGCCUUUAGUGUUUGGUUUGGGCUUUGGGCUUUUAUUAUUUCAAGUCAUCCUAUGCUUGAAUAAAAGCC
rnacentral:lncRNA from 1 species